rnacentral:rRNA from 2 species
GCAUAUCAAUAAGCGGAGGAAAAGAAAAUAACAAUGAUUUCCCUAGUAACGGCGAGUGAAGAGGAAGAGCUCAAAGUUGGAACCUGUUUGGCCUAGCUAAACCGGAUUGUAGACUGUAGAAGUGUUUUCCAGGCAAGCCGAGUAAAUAAGUCCUUUGGAACAGGGCAUCAUAGAGGGUGAGAAUCCCGUCUUUGGCUUGAGCAUUUGCCUUUUGUGAUACGCUUUCAAAGAGUCAGGUUGUUUGGGAAUGCAGCCUAAAUUGGGUGGUAAAUCUCACCUAAAGCUAAAUAUUGGCGAGAAACCGAUAGCGAACAAGUACCGUGAGGGAAAGAUGAAAAGAACUUUGAAAAGAGAGUUAAACAGUAUGUGAAAUUGUUAAAAGGGAACCGUUUGGAGCCAGACUGGCUUGUCUGUAAUCAAUCUAGGCUUCGGCCUGGAUGCACUUGCAGGCUAUGCCUGCCAACGACAAUUUGACUUGAGGGAAAAAACUAGGGGAAAUGUGGCCCACUUGUGGGUGUUAUAGUCCCUUAGAAAAUACCUUGGGUUGGAUUGAGGAACGCAGCGAAUGCUUAUUGGCGAGUUUUCCAGGAAGGUUUUCUGAGGUACUACGGUAUCAAGGUUGAUCUUUUUGGUUAUACUUCUAUUCGCUUAGGUUGUUGGCUUAAUGACUCUAAAUGACCCGUCUUGAAACACGGACC